ensembl:lncRNA novel transcript
UUUUCAAAAUAUCAUGUAUUUUGCUAACUCUAUAUAACUCCAUGUGUCAUUUCAUCCAGAAAACUUGUUUCUAAUGCUUUUUUCUCUGGACUCUAAGCUGGUUGAUGCCACCAGGCCUUGGGAAAAAGCCUGCCUUCUGAUAGGAUUGCUAUUGAGUAGCAAAAAUUCUUGGAUUCUGAUAACAUCUUUCAUGCAGAAACUCAAAGCAUCUCCCAAAUUAUAAGCCCAUUCUUUUACACUGUUCUACACUCUCACACUCUAGGAACAACUCAUUUCAAUCUUGGGACAUUGACCAGAAUUCAGGGAAACUAGCAUGAUCCUUCCAGUCUGACGUUUCAUUCCAUCUACUGUCCAAAGCUGUGUCUACAAGGCAUCACCUAUGAGACAAUAAAACAAACCCUCUGAAAUCAGGAAAUUUGCCAGAAGAUGGCGAGCUGGGAAGAAAUAAAACCAGGAUUUGAGCCAGAGACAGGGUUUCUCUAUGUUGCCCAGGCUUGUGUUGAACUCCUGGCCUCAAGUGAUCUUCCCACCUCAGCUUCUCAAAGUGCUGGAAUUACAGGCAUAAGCCACCAUGCCUGGCUGCAUGAAAUCUUCUGAGGUAUUAUUUUGAGAACAUAAAUAA